GUAUACCGUAUAUUUGUGGCAUAUCAUCGUGGCCACAAGUUAAAUUUUUUUUCUGUUUAGGAUUAAAUUUUUAUUAAGAUCCAUUUUGUUACAUCUUGUGAUCAAUUUUUUUGGCAAUCGCCAAUGGCAGUCAGCAGGGUUAAAGAACAUCAGUUGUGCGACCUGUUAGUCAAAUGCAUUUUGUUUAAAUAUACUUUUUCACUUUUUUGGUCUUUUGGAAAAUGUUGUAUGUGCUGUAUUUAGACUCUUCUACAACGAAAUUUGUUUUACAUGCACACGUAUAAAAAUUGCGGUUUUUUAUCCAACGCAAUCAUAGGUUUGAACGUAAUUUUCAAUUUAGACUCGUUUAUAUAAUUAUGAUAUAUAUAUAUAUAUAUACAUAUAUAUUUAAAUUAGC
rnacentral:lncRNA from 1 species